UUCUGACAUUGCAGAUACCUCAUCCUCACA
rnacentral:piRNA from 1 species